rnacentral:rRNA from 1 species
AUUGAACGCUGGCGGCAGGCCUAACACAUGCAAGUCGAGCGGCAGCGGGAAAGUAGCUUGCUACUUUUGCCGGCGAGCGGCGGACGGGUGAGUAAUGCCUGGGAAAUUGCCCAGUCGAGGGGGAUAACAGUUGGAAACGACUGCUAAUACCGCAUACGCCCUACGGGGGAAAGCAGGGGACCUUCGGGCCUUGCGCGAUUGGAUAUGCCCAGGUGGGAUUAGCUAGUUGGUGAGGUAAUGGCGCACCAAGGCGACGAUCCCUAGCUGGUCUGAGAGGAUGGUCAGCCACACUGGAACUGAGACACGGUCCAGACUCCUACGGGAGGCAGCAGUGGGGAAUAUUGCACAAUGGGGGAAACCCUGAUGCAGCCAUGCCGCGUGUGUGAAGAAGGCCUUCGGGUUGUAAAGCACUUUCAGCGAGGAGGAAAGGUCAGUAGCUAAUAUCUGCUGGCUGUGACGUUACUCGCAGAAGAAGCACCGGCUAACUCCGUGCCAGCAGCCGCCGUAAAAC